GUUUCCAUAGUGUAGUGGUUAUCACGUCUUCCCACACGAAAAGGUCCUCAGUUCGAAACUGGGUGGAAACA
rnacentral:tRNA from 1 species